CUGCCGCGUGGUCGCGCGCGUGUGCGUGCGUGCAUAGGGGGCGCGCCGGGUGUCCGCGGGCGGCCCUCGCUCCGUGCGGGAGGCGUGAAUCCUGACCCGAACCGCUCCAGUCCUGCGGCCGCACUGGGUCCGCCCUGGGCGGGCUGAGGUGUGGCGGGCGAGCGGCGGGGCGGCGCCCUAACGGGCGGGGCGACCCAGAGCUGCCGAGCUGGGUGGACAGGUGGGCGUGGGCUGCGCAGCCGGCCAAACUGGCCGGCCAUCCCGCCGCGGCCGUGACGCCUGGGCUGCGCUAGCUGCUGGGGUCAAAUCGCCGCUGACCUUUCUCCGGAGGAAAGAUAAAUUAUUAUGGUUGUGUGUGAGCGUCAGUGCAAAUGUUUUCCGAGCCCUCCUCCUCCGGCUCAGGGUGCCUUUUGGAUACCCCGAAUUCCUCAGCCCCGGGCAGGGAGCGGCGGCGUCCUUUGUGUCUCUGGGGAGCGCACACCACCUCCGGGGAAACAGCGAACCCGAGAACGCAUUCGGAAAGAGCUGUUCCCCCCACCCCUUCAUCCAGUGAGAAGAUAAUGCUGUCUACCAGUUGGAUCUCUGCUUUUGUAGGAAAGAAGAGCAUCUGUCCUCCAGGCUGGGCUUUGUCUCCAUUUGCUCUGCGACUGCACGAGGGAAGCAAGGCUACAUAAGGAGGCUUUUCAGCAGAGGAGCCUGGUGUUGAACUCGUGCCAUGGGGGAAUGAAUUCUUCUAUAGACCUCUCAUCCUCUUCUGGAAGUUAAAGGGGGGGCUAUUUGAAAAAGAAAAAAAAAAGCAUAUGUGUGUGAAUGUG